GAGCCCCGCCCCAGGGCCUCCGGGCCUUGUCUCUAGGGCCGCCCUUCUGCGAUUCCUCGUGACGGAGGCCCCGGGGCAGGGGAACCGUCACGAGGGUGCUCCGCGUCCAGCUGCGCAAGCCGGACCUUCCGCCCCCCGCCCCGCGCCCUCGGACCCCCCUCGCCUGAAGAAGGUGCUUCCCCCGCGCGGCAGCCGUGGGCCCCGCUCGCCCCAACCCCGUUUUGGUCUGUUAACGUAUCCGGGCCCUCAUUCGUUCCCAAGGCCGGCAGGGCUGCCGCACGGGGCCUGGACACCGAGAGAUCUUCCUGUGGCCUGGCCGACUCCUCAGCGCUGGCGUGGACCCCAAUGCCACCCCUCAGAAACGCCUUCCCUCCGCGACCCGCUUCCUCACGUCCCAGGACAGUGCACACUGUGUGUGUGGUUCCUCUCGGGAAGACAGUCCCCCACGGGCCUUAGCUCUGGCCUUCUUUCCUGCCCUCAUCAGGAACAAUGGCACCGUGUGCCACCAGGAGCUGGGAGGCGGUCCUCAGAGGCCAGAUUUUCCCUAUGUCUUCUGUCCCCACAACCAGACCUGCUCCCAGGCCUCUGCCUCCCUUGCCCAGGAGGAGAAUCAGCAAGACGUGGGAUUCCCCGCCCAGUUCUCAGAAAGGGGGAAAUGAACCUGAUUACCCAGCUCCAGUCUGGGCCGGACGCUGAUUGAACUAGGAAUCUGAUAGAAAGUUUGCAAAAUUAGGAGGAUUUCUUCUUCUGGUGGGAGAUGUCACGGUGUAUCAGGUGGCUGGGGUUUUAGUCUCUGUGCUCUAGCCAUUAAUGUGCUGUGCAGUUUGGGGCAAGUGACUUGCCUUCUCUGGUGUCUGCUUCCUCCUCUGUAAAAUGGUCUGUAAGUCCCCUUGUGUUCUCAUACCCUAAGAGCUCUCUGGGUACCUGUUGUCUUCAUUCAUUCAUGUAGGACUUCUGGGGUGUUUAAGCCCAGGUCCUUUUUUCUCCUCUGCAGUAAGAGGGGAAGUCACACCACAGCAUGCCCCCAACCAAAACCCUCCACGACCUCCUGUCCCAUUUAGAGUAAGGUCCUUACUCCUCACCUGGGUAUAGGCCCUGUCUGAUCUGGUGCCUGCACUCUGACCUGUUAGAGUCCUCCAACCUCACACUCUGUGCUGGGAUCCACCUACAUCUGCCGGGGCCUCCCUCCAGAGCCCAAACCUUUGCUCACCUCCUGGGCCUUUGCACUUGCUAGAACCUCUGCUUGGCACUUUUCUCAGUUUCCUCCAAGACUGGCUUCUUCUUACCCAACAGGUCUCAGAUCAAAUGUUGCCUCCUCCAAGAAGUCCUCCCUGACUACCUAUAAUCCCCAACCCCAUUCCACUUCAAGUCUCCCUCUCAUCACCCUAGGAUAAAAAAAAAAAAAAAAAAGGCUUUUAAGUAACUUUUUUUAAAGUAAACUUUUAAGUAAAAUGUAAAAUCCACAGACCACCCACAUGCCUAUGUGUCAUAAGAGUACGGAUGAUGGGUUUUCACAAACCAAACACACCCAUAUAACCAGCACCCACAUCAAGAAGCAGAGCAUGACGCAUGGGGGGGGGAGCGGUUGGUGAAGGACCGUCAUGUGGACCAGCAUCCACUCUUACCCCAGGAGCUCUGGGGGCAUCGGGGAGCAUAGAGAGGGAGGAGCUGAGUGGGGGCACACGGUGCUGGGGUCCUCGCAGAGGAUGUAGGCCAGAGAGGGAGGGCUGAGACCUGACUGGGGCCUGCAGGACUCAUUCCUGAGCACGUGUGAGCACACCUUGUGUGGUGGGCCCUGUGAGGAGACCCCCUCCGGGCCCUGGGCCGGCAGAGCUGGAGGGGCCGUGGAGGACAUGGGCUGGAAAGUGCCUCCACCAGGAUGGUGGGGGGGGUGUCCCAGAGAGGGCCGGAGGGUGGAUGGAGCCAGGGGAGGGGGCAAUGCUGAGGCUGCGGUGUGGGGAGGGGACACCUCUGGUGUCCAGGCCCAGGGCCAGGAUCGUCACAAAAAUCAGCUCCUCUCCCUUACGGCCCCCUGUGAGAUGGGGGACGGGACCCCAUUCCCACGGGAGGGAACUGGGGUGCCUCGGCUCUGCUCUGUGAUGCUCUGAUGGCAUCUCCAAGGACCCGCACUCGGGAUCUCCCCAAGACGAAGCAGUCACAGCAGGGAGAGGGUCGCAGGUUGGGGACAUUUCGUUUUCUUUUGUAAAAGGAGUCUCUUGGCUAUUGUUACGACAGUGGAAACAGAGCACUUCCACAGAUCAUGUUUCACCAGGGAUGUGGUCCAUGUUUUUCCCUUUGGAUGAAUUCCCCCGCAGAGAGAUUACAGGUGGCUGAGUCACUGGGCGCGCUGCUCCUGGGCUUCUGCCGCUCUGUCCCUGCCAAGGCCCCCCUCGGCCUCCCGGAGCGCCAGGGUGUGUGCGGGGAAUUCUCCGAGACCAUGUGCCCAGCGGUCCUGGACGGCCUCCAGGACACGCAGGGCUGGGAAGCAGGGGACAGCGGGUGGCAGUGGGGAUAGGCCUGGCUCGGGAGCCCCCUUAGAGCGGCACCCCCACCCUGCCACAGAUCGUGUGUGUGUGUGUGUGUGUGUGUCUCAGAAAGGUCGGAGCAGGGUUGGCGGCCAUCCAGCUUCCUUGGAGCACUGUUUGCCUCUUUAAAUCUUGAACGCAUGUUACUUGGAUAUAUAUGGAAACUAAACACCAAAAGACAGAUACGUUUACAAAUUUGACAGGUGCCAAGAGCUUCACGGGUGCGCGGUCCGACACUGCCUUCCUCGCCCCUCAGGACGAGUGUCACCAGGGCUGUGUUCUGGGAACUCAGCCCGAGCGGCUGGGGAGGUGGGACGGCAUGAGCCUGGGGCUGGGCGCAUGCAGACCUGCUCUGGGUCCUGCGCUGUCAGUUCCUUGUGACGUCAUGGCAGUGACAUAAGCUCUGUUUCUCUCGCCUGCGAAUGGGAUGGUGAUGCUCAUCUUGCAGGGCUGCUGGAGGGUCAACUAGAAGAUUCUGGUAAAGCGUCCGUCAUGUACAGGAGCCAGUGUUAGCUCAGGUAAAGCGUCCGUCAUAUACAGGAGCCAGUGUUAGCUCAAGCGGCCGUAAGUGGGUGGUGGGUCGGGGGGUGGUGCAGGGUCCACACCGGGUGCACGGGACCUGCUAUCCGUAGGCCCAGUGGCUAGGGCACCCUGAGGCCAGAGCCCAGGUGUCUGCUGUCCUGGAGCCUCCCUUGUGACCCACUCCAGUCCCAGACAGCUCCCCACGGUCUCCCCAGAACAUCUGCCCACUCUUCAGAGAAGCGACACCCCCCCCCCCCACCUUGCACUUGGACUUGGGCUUAUCUCUUUCAUAGCAUUUCACGCCCGAGUCACAGGAGUGAGAGUGCGAGACCUGAGCUCUCAGUCAGAAACCGUGUUCCUGGGAACUGGAAGGCCGCCGCUGGCCUCUUGCUCGUGGAGUUAUGGGAGAGAAUUCUGCGCAUUUCCGACCAUGGUCUUCGAGACCGUUUUCCCCGCUCUGGAAAACUCCGGAUGGGACUUUUCUCGAGUCCCCGAGAGCUGGCUGGUGAGGAGGCAGAGAGGCUGUGUUCCAGGGUGGACCGGUUGGCUUUUUCUCCAUCGUGCUGGAUGCCGGCACACCCUUCCAGCCUGGAUGUCUUGGUCCCUCCGCUGGAGAGGCGCCCUCUUUGCUUGAAGGUCUCCCUCUGAGCUCUCCGGGUCUCCUGGUGUUUGGAUGUUGGAUUUUUGGAGCUUUAGAAUAGGGAGAAGUUUUCCUUUUGAUGUAGGCACAUCUAUUAGCUUUCUUUCCCCUACAGAUUUUGCUGUUGAUUUCAUCUUUAAAGUAUUCUUCCCAACCCCCAAAUUAUAUAACCUGCUCCAUUUUUAAUGUUGGCGAGAGCAACUUCGUCAUAAGGCUCGUGCUGUUUUCCUUCAGCUGAUUCUGCUCCACUGCGGGCAGCACACGUGAGUUUUCCUCGGGUGAAUCAAGGAGAGAAACAAUGUAUCGGUUACAAAAAGAAGAAAAAAAAUCCACAUAAUCUAUUUUAUCCAGAAUUUUAUUACCAGCAAGAUUCUGUUUUUCUUUCUUCUUUCCUUCCUUUCUUUUUUAAAGAUUUUACUGUUACAUAAUCUUUACACCCAGCGUGGGACUCGAACUCAUGACCCCAAGAUCCAGCGUCCCCUGCUCCCCUGACCGAGCUGGCCAGGAGCUCCGAGAUUCUCGUAAAUGUCAAAGCAAGUAUUUUCUUUACAAAAGUUAAUAACACGCAUAGGAAAAAAUGUUAAAGGACAAGCGAGCAGAAAGGGCUCCCAGGCCCUCAGUAAAUGCAACAGAAAAGCCAAAGAAGUUUUCAGAUUAUUUCUAGAUGCAGGGAUGUGGGACCCCGUUGCUGAAGGGGUGGCAGGUCGGAGAAGGAGCGCAGCGGAGGUGAUGAGCCCUGGAACCUGCGGGUCGGAGGUGGGGGAGCAGGACCCGACUGUGCUGGGCUCCGGCUGGGGGCGCGGCUCAGGAGAAGAGCUGCUUGGAUUCACAGGCAACAGUUUUCUCCCGGGGUCCUGGUGGGCGCUGGCCCGGGAGACCAGGCCCGGCCCCUGAGGGCUGCUGGGCUCUGGGUGGAAGCCAGAGCUGACGGCAGGGAACAGCAACACCAUCAGCAGGGUCCCCCUGGACUGAGCCUGGCUCCUGGCUCCUGGCACUGGAGAGGCGUUCGGAAAGGAAGCCUCUGUGAAUCCUCAUGAAGGGGAAGGGGCCUGUUUCCUGAGUACCUGUCUGCCCAAGGAAACAGCUCUGGGGGGAGGCGCUGCAACACAGAGGCUCCCUUGAUGACCACAGCCCACACUGGCCAUCUGGGGAGUCAGAGCGUGCAGCGGCCAGAGACCCAAGUGCCGCAGGCAGGCCUGGCCAGGCCCCGACACCUGCACGUGUGGGGCCCUCGGCAGAGGACGUGGACUGUGUGCUCUGCACUUCUCCACCUGCACGCCCAGGAGAGUCGUGACCUCUACUCCACCUUGGGAGCAGGACGUUGCAAGACAUCGUAUGUAGGGCGUGGGGCUUGCACAGAGGACUCGGUCUGCGUUCGGUGUUCCACUUGGGCCUCCAUCUGUUUACUCUUCUAACUGCCCAAUGGCAGUGAGACAGCAAUGGCUCAGGACUCCCCAGAGGGACAGCUGCUGGGACCCCCAUGCUGCUGUCCCUUUCCGUGAGGCAGACCCCCCUCCAAGCUUGGGUAGCUGGUGCUGUGCAUCAGAGAUGGGGACAAAUUGGCUCCAGUCUCCGGGCAUCCGCAACAAUGCCAGUCAGGCCUGGGCUGGUGGCUCAGCGACCCUUCCAAGGCAAGCAUCCCUUGUGUGUCCCACACUUAGUCCUGUCCCACGGCGGGGGCGGGUGUUGGGGCAACCUUGCUCAGCAGUCUGGCCCCUACGCCAGAAUUUAGAAUGACUUUUGCAACUUUUGGGAUGUACUGGAGUGGAAGGGACCCACCAAAAAAGUUUCUUUAAUCUGGGGCGACCUACCUCCCUGUCAAGGUCACAAACAUGCAGGCCCAGGACUUAUAAGCCCAGAGCUGGGCCCGACCCACAGAUGAGCUCCCCCUCGUGCACAGGGGAGGGUCCCCGCCAGACAGUGCUGCUUAGUGGGUAGAACACAGACUUCUUCCCCCGUGCGGUUCACAGUCCGGUGUAUUCUCGGCCCCAUGUUAACCAGGGCUGAGAAGCAUCUCCAGGCUAGGCCGCUCACUGAGAAAAAGCCAGGGGCCGUUCGAGCGGAGCGUGCUGCCCCAAGCGUCCACACUCGUUUCCUGGGAGGAUUCGUGGGAAACUGAGGCAGAAAUGGCCCCCGGGAAGGGGCACCGAGGGGCUGGGGAUGACCGACUUUGGGAGGAGGAGUACUUUUCACUGUAUGUAAAGGUUGAACGUUUACCCUGUGCUAGCCUGGCCCCCAGAACACAAAGCACAACGAAGACACUAGAACUAAGCUCUUCGGUUUGCCACACAGGCCUUUGAACGACUUCAUCUUCUCGCCAGAGAUUUGCAACCUGGACACUAGUGACGUUUGCACUGGACAACCCCUUGCGGUGGGGGCUGCCCCAGGCACCGUGGGAGGCUCGGCGGGGUCCCCGGCCUCUACCCACCGGCUGCCCAUGGCACCUCCCCCUUGGCUAUGACGACCAAAAAUCUCUCCAGACAUUGCAAAAUUCCACGGAAGUGAAAUCACUGCUGGCUGAGAACGACCGCCCGAGAAAACCUGCAAAAUGGGGAGUGGGGACCUGCGUCUCCGUCAGCCGGAUACGACAGUCCAGGCCCACAGUUUUCAUUAAAUUAAAAAAAAUUGUGUGCCUCA